rnacentral:rRNA from 1 species
GACGAACGCUAGCGGCGUGCUUAACACAUGCAAGUCGAACGGAAAGGCCCUGCUUUUGUGGGGUGCUCGAGUGGCGAACGGGUGAGUAGCACGUGAGUAACCUGCCCUUGACUUUGGGAUAACUUCAGGAAACUGGGGCUAAUACCGGAUAGGAGCUCCUGCUGCAUGGUGGGGGUUGGAAAGUUUCGGCGGUUGGGGAUGGACUCGCGGCUUAUCAGCUUGUUGGUGGGGUAGUGGCUUACCAAGGCUUUGACGGGUAGCCGGCCUGAGAGGGUGACCGGCCACAUUGGGACUGAGAUACGGCCCAGACUCCUACGGGAGGCAGCAGUGGGGAAUAUUGCACAAUGGGCGGAAGCCUGAUGCAGCAACGCCGCGUGCGGGAUGACGGCCUUCGGGUUGUAAACCGCUUUCGCCUGUGACGAAGCGUGAGUGACGGUAAUGGGUAAAGAAGCACCGGCUAACUACGUG